rnacentral:misc_RNA from 1 species
GAUAGAAAGUCAAAUUACAUACUCUCUACUACUCACUAAUCUACUUAAUAUCAAAUUUUAUGAAACACUCAAGCAAUACAUUGAAGCUUUUGGAAAUGUUGCAAAUGAGCCAUCGUGCCAUAAAGAAAUAGGCCUUUUUUGUUGAAUAUACUCCAUCUCAAGUAAUACGUUCCGCAGGUUUAGGACAAACAAACCGGUACAUUAGGAGCUCUACACAUUCUUGCAAGAGUAAAGCCAUAAUUACCUCUACUCCCACAACAAGCAUUUUGCAAUGAUUUUGGAUCAAAU